UGAGGAAUAUUGGUCAAUGGGCGAGAGCCUGAACCAGCCAAGUAGCGUGAAGGAUGACUGCCCUAUGGGUUGUAAACUUCUUUUAUAAAGGAAUAAAGUCGGGUAUGGAUACCCGUUUGCAUGUACUUUAUGAAUAAGGAUCGGCUAACUCCGUGCCAGCAGCCGCGGUAAUACGGAGGAUCCGAGCGUUAUCCGGAUUUAUUGGGUUUAAAGGGAGCGUAGAUGGAUGUUUAAGUCAGUUGUGAAAGUUUGCGGCUCAACCGUAAAAUUGCAGUUGAUACUGGAUAUCUUGAGUGCAGUUGAGGCAGGCGGAAUUCGUGGUGUAGCGGUGAAAUGCUUAGAUAUCACGAAGAACUCCGAUUGCGAAGGCAGCCUGCUAAGCUGCAACUGACAUUGAGGCUCGAAAGUGUGGGUAUCAAACAGGAUUAGAUACCCUGGUAGUCCACACGGUAAACGAUGAAUACUCGCUGUUUGCGAUAUACUGCAAGCGGCCAAGCGAAAGCGUUAAGUAUUCCACCUGGGGAGUACGCCGGCAACGGUGAAACUCAAAGGAAUUGACGGGGGCCCGCACAAGCGGAGGAACAUGUGGUUUAAUUCGAUGAUACGCGAGGAACCUUACCCGGGCUUAAAUUGCAGAUGAAUUACGGUGAAAGCCGUAAGCCGCAAGGCAUCUGUGAAGGUGCUGCAUGGUUGUCGUCAGCUCGUGCCGUGAGGUGUCGGCUUAAGUGCCAUAACGAGCGCAACCCUUGUUGUCAGUUACUAACAGGUUCCGCUGAGGACUCUGACAAGACUGCCAUCGUAAGAUGUGAGGAAGGUGGGGAAGACGUCAAAUCAGCACGGCCCUUACGUCCGGGGCUACACACGUGUUACAAUGGGGGGUACAGAGGGCCGCUACCACGCGAGUGGAUGCCAAUCCCCAAAACCUCUCUCAGUUCGGACUGGAGUCUGCAACCCGACUCCACGAAGCUGGAUUCGCUAGUAAUCGCGCAUCAGCCACGGCGCGGUGAAUACGUUCCC
rnacentral:rRNA from 1 species